UACGUAGGGUGCAAGCGUUAAUCGGAAUUACUGGGCGUAAAGCGUGCGCAGGCGGUUUUGUAAGACAGGCGUGAAAUCCCCGGGCUUAACCUGGGAAUUGCGCUUGUGACUGGAAAGCUAGAGUGCGGCAGAGGGGGAUGGAAUUCCGCGUGUAGCAGUGAAAUGCGUAGAUAUGCGGAGGAACACCGAUGGCGAAGGCAAUCCCCUGGGCCGGCACUGACGCUCAUGCACGAAAGCGUGGGGAGCAAACAGG
rnacentral:rRNA from 1 species